rnacentral:rRNA from 1 species
AGUGAACGCUGGCGGUAGGCCUAACACAUGCAAGUCGAACGGCAGCACAGUAAGAGCUUGCUCUUACGGGUGGCGAGUGGCGGGCGGGUGAGGAAUACAUCGGAAUCUACUUUUUCGUGGGGGAUAACGUAGGGAAACUUACGCUAAUACCGCAUACGACCUACGGGUGAAAGCAGGGGAUCUUCGGACCUUGCGCGAUUGAAUGAGCCGAUGUCGGAUUAGCUAGUUGGCGGGGUAAAGGCCCACCAAGGCGACGAUCCGUAGCUGGUCUGAGAGGAUGAUCGGCCACACUGGAACUGAGACACGGUCCAGACUCCUACGGGAGGCAGCAGUGGGGAAUAUUGGACAAUGGGCGCAAGCCUGAUCCAGCCAUACCGCGUGGGUGAAGAAGGCGUUCGGGUUGUAAAGCCCUUUUGUUGGGAAAGAAAAGCAGCAGGUUAAUACCCCGCUGUUCUGACGGUACCCAAAGAAUAAGCACCGGCUAACUUCGUG